rnacentral:lncRNA from 1 species
GAUACCCUUAAGGGAGAACUCUGGAGCACUAACUGUGUGUUCCCUACAGAUGCGUCCACCACCUCCCCCGCCGGCUAAAGCCCCGGAUCCUGGCCACCCAGAUCCCCUCACCUGAAGGCCAGGGAAGCCUUGACCCCCAGUGAUGCUGCUGUCCCUAUCUUCAAGCUGUCAGACCACACCAUCAAUGAUCCAGAGCAACACAGCCAAAAGCUGGAAUCGCCCUUAUUUCCACCCUCACCUCCAAGGGUGGAAACUUGCCCCUUCCCAUUUCUAGAGCUGGAACCCACUCCUUUUUUUCCCAUUGUUCUAUCAUCUCUAGGACCGGAACUACCUUCUCUUCUGUCAUGACCCUAUCUAGGGUGGUGAAAUGCCUGAAAUCUCUGGGGCUGGAAACCAUCCAUCAAGGUCUCUAGUAGUUCUGGCCCACCUCUUUCCCCACCCUGGCUCCAUGACCCACCCCACUCUGGAUGCCAGGGUCACUGGGGUUGGGCUGGGGAGAGGAACAGGCCUUGGGAAUCAGGAGCUGGAGCCAGGAUGCGAAGCAGCUGUAAUGGUCUGAGCGGAUUUAUUGACAAUGAAUAAAGGGCACGAAGGCCAGGCCAGGGCCUGGGCCUCUUGUGCUAAGAGGGCAGGGGGCCUACGGUGCUAUUGCUUUAGGGGCCCACCACGGGCAGGGGCCUGCUCCCAGCUGCCACGCUCUAUCAUAUGGAGCGAGGUGUUGGGGAAGGCGGGGCAGGCAGCCUGUUGCAGGCAGGGGAAGGAGAAGAGACUGAGGGGCUGUGACCUCUCCUGAGGCCCCCAGCCUGAGACUGUGCAACUCCAGGUGGAAGUAGAGCUGGUCCCUCAGCUGGGGGGCAGUGCUGUCCAGUGGAGGGGAGGGCUUUCACGCCCACCCACCCCCUGGCCCUGCCAGCUGGUAGUCCAUCAGCACAAUGAAGGAGACUUGGAGAAGAGGAAGAAUAACACUGUUGCUUCCUGUUCAAGCUGUGUCCAGCUUUUCCCCUGGGGCUCCAGGACCUUCCCUACCUCCACCACCAAACCAAGGGAUUUAUAGCAAAGGCUAAGCCUGCAGUUUACUCGGGGGGUUCAGGGAGCCGAAAGGCUUAAAUAGUUUAAGUAGGUGAUGGGAAGAUGAGAUUACCUCAUUUAGGGCUCAGGCAGACUCACCUCACAUACUCCCUGCUCCCUGUGGUAGAGACACCCUGAGUUUGGUGGCUACUUCCCUCUGGCCUAAGGUAGGGGAGGCCUUCUCAGAUUGUGGGGCACAUUGUGUAGCCUGACUUCUGCCGGAGCUCCCAGUCCAGGAGGAAAGAGCCAAGGCCCACUUUUGGGAUCAGGUGCCUGAUCACUGGGCCCCCUACCUCAGCCCCCCUUUCCCUGGAGCACCUGCCCCACCUGCCCACAGAGAACACAGUGGUCUCCCCUGUCCGGGGGCGGCUUUUUCCUUCCUUGGAGCGUCCCUGACGGACAAGUGGAGGCCUCUUGCUGCGGCUGCAAUGGAGGCAAGGGGCUGCAGAGCCCAGGUGCACUGUGUGAUGAUGGGAGGGGGCUCCGUCCUGCAGGCUGGAGGUGGCAUCCACACUGGACAGCAGGGAGGAGGGGAGUGAGGGUAACAUUUCCAUUUCCCUUCAUGUUUUGUUUCUUACGUUCUUUCAGCAUGCUCCUUAAAACCCCAGAAGCCCCAAUUUCCCCAAGCCCCAUUUUUUCUUGUCUUUAUCUAAUAAACUCAAUAUUAAG